rnacentral:misc_RNA from 1 species
GAUGAAGAACGUAGCGAAAUGCGAUAAGUAAUGUGAAUUGCAGAAUUCAGUGAAUCAUCGAAUCUUUGAACGCACCUUGCGCCCUUUGGCUAUUCCGAAGGGCAUGCCUGUUUGAGUAUCAUGAACACCUCAACUCUUUAUGGUUUUCCAUGAAGGGCUUGGACUUUGGGGGUCUUGCUGGCCUUUAGUCAGCUCCUCUCAAACGAAUCAGCUUUCCGGUGUUUGGCAGCGUCACAGGUGUGAUAACUAUCUACGCUUGUGGUUUUCUGCCAGGUAAUCCUCAGUGAUGGGGAUUCGCUGGGGCUUAUAAAUGUCUCUCCUCAGCGAAGACAGCUUUGUGAACGUUUGAUCUCAAAUCAGGUAGGACUACCCGCUGAACUUAAGCAUAUCAAUAAGCGGGGA